UUUUUUUUUGAUAUUUUUUUAGAUGUUGAUGAACCUUUAUUUAUUUAUUAAAUGUGGUGCUGAGACUCGAACCCAGUGCCUCACACAUGCUAGGCAAGCGCUUUGCUGCUGAGCCCACCCCAGCCCCCACUCUUACUUCUUAAGUAGAAAUAGUCUAUUCAUGCCCUAAAAGAUUGUGGGUGGGCAGGUGGGUUGGAAACAGGACGGCGGACCCUCCAAGUGGCCUUUGGAAACUCUGGGUGUUGAUUUUCCCACCCAGGAGGACCAGUGCUGUGAGACCAGAACCUACCCCUUAUCUCUAUGGAGAAAAAAACACUAAGCCCCAGGGACAGAGAUAGGCCUGAGGUCACAUUGCCAGUUAGUAGCAGGACCACUGUCGGAGCACCUGGAUUGGGAUUCUGGAGGCUGUGAUCUUUCCUGGUCUCCGGACUUUCUGAGAUCCUUGUGUUUCUGGAAGCCUGGGUCCCUGCUCAGUGACUUAUCCCAUGAACAAUGCUUGCCCUUGCCAAGAGGAAGGGAAAUGUGGGUGGAACCCGUCUAGAAGGGCAGCAGGGGGAGGUCCAGAGGGACAGGGAGCCCUGGGGAGAGAAGAACAGGAGGGCACUGGGGUAGAGUGCGAAGGUCUUGAGUGAGGGCUGGUUGACAGAGUCAGCGGAAGUUUCCAUCAUUUACUUUUCUGUUGUGGUUGUUACUGGGGAUUGAACCCCGGGGCACUCUGCCACUGUGCCACGUCCCCAGCCCUUUUUAUUUUUGAGACAGGGUCUCACAGAAUUGCUUAGGGUCUUGCUAAGUUGCUGAGGCUGACCUUGAACUUGCGAUCCACCUGCCUCAGCCUCCCAAGUCACUGGGGUUUCAGGUGUGCAGCUCCACACACGGCUCCAUCGUUUGUUUUUUUAAUUUUUAUUUAUUUAUUUUUUUAGUUGUAGAUGGACACAAUACCUUUAUUUAUUUAUUUUAUCUGGUGCUGAGACUUUGAACCCUGCCUCCCACGUGCUAGGCAAGCGCUCUGCCACGGAGCUGCAGCCCAGCCUCCAUCAUUUAUUUUUGAGCCUCCUCUCCCCUGGACUUGGGGAAGGUUCUGAGAAGGGCCCAUCUGUGCUGUCUCCCUCCAGCUCCUGUGUGUGCUCGUGAGCAUGUGUGCUCUCUCAGGGUCUCGCUCCACCCAGGGCCCCUCUCCCAUAUGUGUUGGCCCAGACUUCCAGUCCCCACUCCCAUGGGAGCAGGUAAAGGGGACACAGUGGUCAGGCAGAGCCAGUCUCCACUUGCACAGGUGAGGGAUGGAGGCCAUGAGCCAGUCCCCCACCGCCUCUGAGCUGGGUCCUGUGGGCAGAGUCAUGGCUGGAGGUGUGGGGUGCGCGCAGCUCCGACGGCUGGUCACUCAGUGCUGACCUGAGAGCCAGGUUCUAGGCCUGCCGCCACCAGUUCUCUGUGGAGGCAGACACUGCCGCUCCCGCCCGCAGCCUCCUCAGUGGCAGGUUAGACCAGGUCGUCUCUGGUUUGGUGUAGCCUUGGCUACAGUGAGCCCCCGAGAGCUUCCGCGCCACCCCCGUCCAGCGCAGGCGCUGAACUAAGGUCGCUCGUUGAAUUAGGGGUGAUGCAAAAUAAACGCAGAC
rnacentral:lncRNA from 1 species